rnacentral:rRNA from 1 species
GAUGAACGCUGGCGGCGUGCCUAAUACAUGCAAGUCGAGCGAACAGACGAGGAGCUUGCUCCUCUGACGUUAGCGGCGGACGGGUGAGUAACACGUGGAUAACCUACCUAUAAGACUGGGAUAACUUCGGGAAACCGGAGCUAAUACCGGAUAAUAUAUUGAACCGCAUGGUUCAAUAGUGAAAGACGGUUUUGCUGUCACUUAUAGAUGGAUCCGCGCCGCAUUAGCUAGUUGGUAAGGUAACGGCUUACCAAGGCAACGAUGCGUAGCCGACCUGAGAGGGUGAUCGGCUACACUGGAACUGAGACACGGUCCAGACUCCUACGGGAGGCAGCAGUAGGGAAUCUUCCGCAAUGGGCGAAAGCCUGACGGAGCAACGCCGCGUGAGUGAUGAAGGUCUUCGGAUCGUAAAACUCUGUUAUUAGGGAAGAACAAAUGUGUAAGUAACUAUGCGCGUCUUGACGGUACCUAAUCAGAAAGCCACGGCUAACUACGUG